CUCGAGCUCAACUUGGAUCAGCUAUGUUUCUGUCUCUCGUCAACUCAUAUCCCGAUUUGUCCUUCACAAGCCCGUGACAAUGCAGGAGCUGUGAGUGAAGUCACUUUCCACGCAUGGCUUUGGACUGGGUAGAGAUUUUCAAGCCUUGCUGACUUUCGGGAAGAAAAAGCCUAAGGCUGCCUCUAGGUCCGUCUCUCAUUAUCCUGAAGCCUGUUCCUCUGGUGAUUUGCAUUUUUCUCCAUUUGUAGAUUUAAAUGAAUCUGAGGAUAAUGCUGUCUGCUGUCCAACUCUUCCUGCCUAUUGACCAAAUCACAAAAGGGAGGCAUAACCACCUAGUCCUCGGUCCUGCAGGUCAAAGAAGCUACCUGGAAGAAACUGGUUCCAGACGUGAGAGUUUUAUUCCAAUAUGGCUUCCAGGAUCCCAGAGGACUCGACUUGUAGAGAGCAUCACUGGAGUCAAAAGGGCCGAGGUCCAGGGGCCAAGAACACACCUUGGUGCCAGAAGAAGUUCAUAAGUCUUGAAAUGCAGCAUCUCCUGAGCAGUGAGGACAAGAGGGGAAAAAGAAAGAACAAACAUCGUCUCUGCAAGAUGAAACUCUUAAAUCUGGCUUGCCAAGAAUCCGUUACAAUUUAUGGUUGGUCAAGACACAGGGCAUUCAUUUUAUUUAUUUUAUUAUCUGGGUUCUAUGGCUGUCAUUUGGCAGAAAUGUCAGGUGCAUAAGAUAGAAGCACAUAGGUUGGGUAAUAUGGCAAGCUCCUCUCACUACAAAGAAUAAAAAAAUAGGCAGGUGUGGUGGCUGGCGCAUCCCUGUAGUCCUAUGGAGGACCGAAGUGGGAGGAUCACUUGAGCCUGGGAGAUUGAGGCUGCAGUGAGCCAUGAUCAUGCCACUGUACUCCAGCGUGGGCGACAGAGUAAGACCCUGUCUCAAAAAAUAAUAACAAAUAAAAAAAAAAAAGAAAUAAGAAGAGGCCUAGUUCUAAUACUGCCAUGGACUUGCUAUGGCUUAGGCCGUUUCCCUAACACUCUUAACCUAGUUUGCCUCAUAAAAACAUCAAAGUCAUUAUGAAUAUCACACAAGAUAUUGGGGAUAAAAGUGCCUAACACAGGUUGUACCACUUUGCAAGUCUUGAGCAAUAUAAACUAUCUUUUUC
rnacentral:lncRNA from 1 species